UGGUGCAGGGUUCAGUGUGCUCAGCC
rnacentral:piRNA from 1 species